ensembl:rRNA 5S_rRNA 5S ribosomal RNA
GUCUAGGGCCAUACCACCCUAUCCCAGAUGCUAAGCAGGGUCGGGCCUGGCCAGUACUUGGAUGAGAGACCUCCUGGGAAUAUCGAGUGCUUUUGUCU